rnacentral:rRNA from 1 species
AUUGAACGCUGGCGGCAGGCCUAACACAUGCAAGUCGAGCGGAUGAAGGGAGCUUGCUCCUGGAUUCAGCGGCGGACGGGUGAGUAAUGCCUAGGAAUCUGCCUUGUAGUUGGGGAUAACGUCCGGAAACGGGCGCUAAUACCGCAUACGUCCUGAGGUAGAAAGUGGGGGAUCUUCGGACCUCACGCUAUCAGAUGAGCCUAGGUCGGAUUAGCUAGUUGGUGGGGUAAAGGCCUACCAAGGCGACGAUCCGUAACUGGUCUGAGAGGAUGAUCAGUCACACUGGAACUGAGACACGGUCCAGACUCCUACGGGGAGCAGCAGUGGGGAAUAUUGGGCAAUGGGCGAAAGCCUGAUGCAGCCAUGCCGCGUGGGUGAAGAAGGUCUUCGGAUUGUAAAACACUUUUAGGUGGGAAGAAAGGCAGUAAAGUUAAACCUUGCUGUUUUGACGGUACCAAAAAAAAAAGCACCGGCUAACUUCGUG